ACGGAGGGAGCAAGCGUUGUUCGGAUUUACUGGGCGUAAAGGGCGUAUAGGCGGGUUGGCAAGUCAGGUGUGAAAUCCCCCGGCUUAACCGGGGACCUGCACUUGAUACUGCUGGUCUUGAGUACGGAAGAGGGAAGCGGAAUUCCUGGUGUAGCGGUGAAAUGCGUAGAUAUCAGGAAGAACACCGGUGGCGAAGGCGGCUUCCUGGUCCGAUACUGACGCUAAAGCGCGAAAGUGUGGGGAGCAAACAG
rnacentral:rRNA from 1 species